UUAUGCAAAUACAAACUCCUUGCGGCGCACUCGAAUUCCCUUCGUCUUCUCAUUCCUCGAAUCCAAAGACCAUUCAUCAAUGGCGCAUCAAUUAUCGUCUAAAACCCUAACUAAACUUGCCUUCUCUUCAUCAUCCUCCAUUUUCAAACUCCUUCCAAAUUCUCUCAUCCAAUCCAGAAAUUUCGCCACUAAACCACGCCUAUUAGAUGUCGACCUUAAAUCAUUAGAUGCAGGAAUUGGAACAGGAGAUAUUGAAGAUGCUAUUCACAAUAUUGUUGCACUAAGACUUGCACCUGAUUGGCUUGUUUUUGUACCUGGUUCUUCUUACUGGGUCCCACCUAAACCACCUGCUCUUACUACUUUUGUUCAAAACUUCUCCAAUUCUGAGGACUCUCUUUUUGUCUCCUCUCGUAGGAAUUCCCUUUCUUCUUCUUUCUUCUCUCAAGGUUCAGUACCAGAGCCCAAUUCUGCGGAGGUAGAGGUACACGUAAUUGUCCCUGGGAAGCCAUCAUCUUCUGACGAGGAGGAAUAAAAAACCGUAUCUACUGCCAGUCUGAUUCACCUCUUGUGUCUUUUUUUUUUUGCCUCUGCUCGUGGGUUGAUCACAAAACAUGAAGGCGAAUUAACCUGUAUACUCGAUGGCAGUCAAGCUUGCUGGUAUGUGUAUACGUAAAUGGAAUAUGUAGUUUCUACAGCAAAACAAGUAUCAGCCACUUUUAUUGCGUAGUUUCUACAGCAAAAACAAGUAUCAGCCACUUUUAUUGCUGUGCUGUCUGUAAGAUCAAGCUAGAUAGGGGUGGAACCUCAUCCUGUACUUGAUCAUUCUGAAUAUGAUAGACAUUUCUAAUGUAUAUUUUUGGUAGUUUUUACUUUUCAGUGCUGUAUCCAUGUUUAUCUUACGUAGUAGUCGAUGCGAUUGUCUUUGGAUACGCAUUAGAUCUCUCUGAUCGACUUCUGCAUCCCCAGUAUUUCAGAGGUGGCGUUUACUUGCUGUAAAAUUCAGCAGAUAAUUGUAGUUAAUUUUAGUCUAGCCGUUAUGCAAAUGUUAUACCUUUCAUCUGCAUUGGCAUCUCUACUUUAUUUAUGCAUGAAGUUUCACAGAGCAGCCAAUUGUAAUUGUAUUUCUAAUUUGGGAAUACUGUCAUAGGUUACAGAGAUAUUAUUGGAAGUGCUACUAAAUUUAGAUGA